AUUGAACGCUGGCGGCAGGCCUAACACAUGCAAGUCGAGCGAGCGGCGGACGGGUGAGUAAUGUCUGGGAAACUGCCUGAUGGAGGGGGAUAACUACUGGAAACGGUAGCUAAUACUGCAUACCAUCAGAUGUGGCCAGAUGGGAGUAGCUGGUAGGUGGGGGAACGGCUCACCUAGGGGACGAUCCCUAGCUGGUCGGAGAGGAUGACCAGCCACACUGGAACUGAGACACGGUCCAGACUCCGACGGGAGGCAGCAGUGGGGAAUAUUGGACAAUGGGCGAAAGCCGGAUCCAGCCAUGCCGCGUGUGUGAAGAAGGCCUUCGGGUUGUAAAGCACUUUCAGCGGGGAGGCGUUACCCGCAGAAGAAGCACCGGCUAACUCCGUGCCAGCAGCCGCGGUAAUUC
rnacentral:rRNA from 1 species